rnacentral:rRNA from 1 species
AUUGAACGCUGGCGGCAGGCCUAACACAUGCAAGUCGAACGAGGGGCGGACGUGUGAGUAAUGUCUGGGAAACUGCCUGCUGGAGGGGGAUAACUACUGGAAACGGUAGCUAAUACCGCAUACCAUCAGAAGUGCGCAGAGGGGAUUAGCGAGUUGGUGGGGUAACGGCUCACCAAGGCGACGAUCCCUAGCGGGUCGGAGAGGAUGACCAGCCACACUGGAACUGAGACACGGUCCAGACUCCUACGGGAGGCAGCAGUGGGGAAUAGUGCACAAUGGGCGCAAGCCUUAUGCAGCCAUGCCGAGUGUAUGAAGAAGGCCUUCGGUUUGUAAAGUACGUUCAGCGGGGAGGCGUUACCCGCAGAAGAAGCACCGGCUAACUACGUGCCAGCAGCCGCGGUAAUUC